GCCUUCGUAGCGUAGUGGUCAGCACGCUCAACGUGUAACCGAGAGGUGCAUGGCUCGAUUCCCGUCGAAGGCG
rnacentral:tRNA from 1 species